rnacentral:rRNA from 1 species
UGGGGAAUUUUGGACAAUGGGCGAAAGCCUGAUCCAGCAAUGCCGCGUGUGUGAAGAAGGCCUUCGGGUUGUAAAGCACUUUUGUCCGGAAAGAAAUCCUCUGGGUUAAUACCUCGGGGGGAUGACGGUACCGGAAGAAUAAGCACCGGCUAACUACGUGCCAGCAGCCGCGGUAAUACGUAGGGUGCAAGCGUUAAUCGGAAUUACUGGGCGUAAAGCGUGCGCAGGCGGUUUUGUAAGACGGAUGUGAAAUCCCCGGGCUUAACAUGGGAACUGCAUUCGUGACUGCAAGGCUAGCGUAUGGCAGAGGGGGGUAGAAUUCCACGUGUAGCAGUGAAAUGCGUAGAGAUGGGGAGGAAUACCGAUGGCGAAGGCAGCCCCCUGGGCCAAUACUGACGCUCAUGCACGAAAGCGUGGGGAGCAAACA